AUUGAACGCUGGCGGUAGGCCUAACACAUGCAAGUCGGGCGCGCGGCAGACGGGUGAGUAAUGUAUGGGGAUCUGCCUGAUGGAGGGGGAUAACUACUGGAAACGGUAGCUAAUACCGCAUACCCUCAGAUGCACCCAUAUGGGAUUAGCUUGUAGGUGGGGUAACGGCUCACCUAGGCGACGAGCCCUAGCUGGUCUGAGAGGAUGACCAGCCACACUGGAACUGAGACACGGCCCAGACUCCUACGGGAGGCAGCAGUGGGGAAUAUUGCACAAUGGGCGCAAGCCUGAUGCAGCCAUGCCGCGUGUAUGAAGAAGGCCUUCGGGUUGUAAAGUACUUUCAGUCGGGAGGCGUUACCGGCAGAAGAAGCACCGGCUAACUCCGUGCCAGCAGCCGCGGUAAUUC
rnacentral:rRNA from 1 species